UCAAAAAAGCAGAAAAUCUACUACACUCUACAGCAUGCUAGAUUUCUAACUUAAGUGAAUGCCACUGACAAAGUAGGUGGAAGGUAGAGUAGGAAGCAGAAAGCAAAACUGCAUUCAAGCUUCUGCAAUUCAUGACUCCUCCUAUUGAAUGACUUCAGUAGGUAGGGUGGUUUCUGGACUUUCAGGGUUGGGAUUUUUUUAAAUCUAUUUCCCUCUC